rnacentral:lncRNA from 1 species
GGGGUAAUACUAGAGUAUUUGUAUCAGAUGUCUUGGUUUAAAAACAAUCUCUCUACUUUUUUUUGAUUUGAAGUUGAAUGUUUAUUUUUCAGUUAAAAGCAAUGCAAGAGCAAAUGAAAAAGUUAGUUGAAGAAUGUAGUAGAAAAAGCAAAAAAGAAAGAAAAGAAAGAAGUUGAACUUGCCAGUAGUACCGAUGUCAAAACGACCGAAAGGACGUCCUCUAAUAGCACCAAAGCCAGUUACGUUAGUAACUCAGUUAGCUCAGUUAUAAACGCCGUUGCAAACGAAAAAGAAAAACUGGUCUAUCGCCACCCUCUAUGACAAAUAAGACGGCAAAGGACGUGGGGCUGCUGCAGCUAAAGCUCCUGCAAACGCUCAGAAGAAAAAAACUAAUGCAAAGGUGAACAACGCACGGAAGAAAAAUGCUGGCGGAAUCCCCUGCCUAUGACUCAGAUGAGGAAGAUAAUGCCAAGCCGAUGACUUACGAUGAAGAAAGAGAAAGCUUAGCUUGGAUAUCAACAAAUUACCAAGUGAUAAACUUGGUCGAGUAGUAGUGCAAAUAAUCCAGUCUAGAGAGCCCUCUCUACGGGAUUCAAAUCCAGACGAGAUAGAAAUAGACUUUGAAACCCUGAACCGUCCACAUUGCGCGCCCUAGAAAAUGCUGUAGCCUUUUGUUUAAGGAAAAAACCACGUAAGUCAAAAUUGAUUUUUCUUGAGUUUUGGAUUGUGCUUUUGGUUUUUUCUUUUUUUCUCUGCAGUAUUUAUCAAUUUUCGUCUAAUUGUUGGAAACUCUUAUGCCUCGAAGAAUCCCUAAAUUUGACUAUUUUUUAGCCUGGGUUUUCCCCGUUCAUCUCUCAUUUAACUCCUAAUAAAAGUUCAAAAUCUUCAGCUCUGUUCUUCAACCAUUCUUAGUUUCAAAGCACUUAUUCACUUCCAAAGCAAUAUCUCCCAGCUUAAUUUUUAUCAGUUUUAAUUACUCUGCGCUCAUCAAUGAGUAUUGAGACGCAAGAUACGUCCUGUAGUUUUUCUAUUUCCAAGAUCUCCUCUGAUCUCCGUAAUGUAAGAACUCACUAAAUGUCAAUGACUGACCAAUGUUAGUUCUUACGCUAUUAAAUACUUUAAAAUCCUCUCUGUAUUUUAGCUUGAGUUUUUAACUUAUUUCAGACAA